rnacentral:rRNA from 1 species
CAGUCGCCGCGGUAAAACGUAGGGUGCGAGCGUUAAUCGGAAUUACUGGGCGUAAAGCGUGCGCAGGCGGUUCGUUAAGACAGAUGUGAAAUCCCCGGGCUUAACCUGGGAACUGCAUUUGUGACUGGCGAGCUAGAGUAUGGCAGAGGGGGGUAGAAUUCCACGUGUAGCAGUGAAAUGCGUAGAGAUGUGGAGGAAUACCGAUGGCGAAGGCAGCCCCCUGGGCCAAUACUGACGCUCAUGCACGAAAGCGUGGGGAGCAAACAGGAUUAGAUACCCCCGUAGUCCUGUCUCUUAUACA